UCAAAUGAAUUGACGGGGAGCACCACAACGGGUGGAGCUUGCGGUUUAAUUGGAUUCAACGCCGGAAAUCUUACCGGGACCGACAGCAAUAUGAAGGCCAGGCUGAAGACUUUGCCGGAUUAGCUGAGAGGUGGUGCAUGGCCGUCGUCAGUUCGUACUGUGAAGCAUCCUGUUAAGUCAGGCAACGAGCGAGACCCACGCCCACAGUUGCCAGCGUACUCUCUGGAGUGACGGGUACACUGUGGGACCGCCGCUGCUAAAGCGGAGGAAGGAAUGGGCAACGGUAGGUCAGUAUGCCCCGAAUAUCCCGGGCUACACGCGAGCUACAAUGGUUGGUACAAUGGGUAUCUACCCCGAAAGGGGACGGGAAUCUCCUAAAACCAAUCUUAGUUCGGAUUGAGGGCUGCAACUCGCCCUCAUGAAGCUGGAAUCCGUAGUAAUCGCGUUUCAACAGAACGCGGUGAAUACGUCCCUGCUCCUU
rnacentral:rRNA from 1 species